GAUGAACGCUGGCGGUCUGCUUAACACAUGCAAGUCGAACGCAACCUUCGGGUUGAGUGGCGGACGGGUGAGUAACGCGUGAGAAUCUGCCUUGGGGUCGGGGACAACCACUGGAAACGGUGGCUAAUACCGGAUAAGCCUUUGGGUAAAAAAUUUAUUGCCCCAAGAGGAGCUCGCGUCUGAUUAGCUAGUUGGUGAGGUAAGAGCUCACCAAGGCAGCGGUCAGUAGCUGGUCUGAGAGGACGAUCAGCCACACUGGGACUGAGACACGGCCCAGACUCCUACGGGAGGCAGCAGUGGGGAAUUUUCCGCAAUGGGCGAAAGCCUGACGGAGCAAGACCGCGUGAGGGAGGAAGGCUCUUGGGUUGUAAACCUCUUUUCUCAGGGAAGAAGCUCUGACGGUACCUGAGGAAUCAGCCUCGGUUAACUCCGUGCCAGCAGCCGCGGUAAUACGGAGGAGGCAAGCGUUAUCCGGAAUUAUUGGGCGUAAAGCGUCCGCAGGUGGCGAUUCAAGUCUGCUGUCAAAGCACGGGGCUUAACUCCGUUAAGGCAGUGGAAAACUGAAUAGCUAGAGUGCCGUAGGGGUAGAGGGAAUCCCCGGUGUAGCGGUGAAAUUGCGUAGAGAUUCGGGAAGAACAUCGGUGGCGAAAGCGCUCUACUGGACGGCAACUGACACUCAGGGACGAAAGCUAGG
rnacentral:rRNA from 1 species